AUUGAACGCUGGCGGCAUGCUUUACACAUGCAAGUCGAACGGUAACAGGCCUUCGGGUGCUGACGAGUGCCGAACGGGUGAGUAAUGCAUCGGAACGUACCCAGAGGUGGGGGAUAACGCAGCGAAAGCUGUGCUAAUACCGCAUGUGAUCUGAGGAUGAAAGCGGGGGACCGAGCAGCAAUGUUUGGCCUCGCGCCUUUGGAGCGGCCGAUGUCGGAUUAGCUAGUUGGUGGGGUAAAGGCCUACCAAGGCGACGAUCCGUAGCUGGUCUGAGAGGACGACCAGCCACACUGGGACUGAGACACGGCCCAGACUCCUACGGGAGGCAGCAGUGGGGAAUUUUGGACAAUGGGCGCAAGCCUGAUCCAGCAAUGCCGCGUGCGGGAAGAAGGCCUUCGGGUUGUAAACCGCUUUUGGCAGGAACGAAACGGUGUCCGCUAAUACCGGGCGCUAAUGACGGUACCUGCAGAAUAAGCACCGGCUAACUACGUG
rnacentral:rRNA from 1 species